UACGUAGGGUGCGAGCGUUUGUCCGGAAUUACUGGGCGUAAAGAGCUCGUAGGUGGUUUGUCGCGUUGUCCGUGAAAUUCCCUGGCUUAACUGGGGGCGUGCGGGCGAUACGGGCAGACUGGAGUACUGCAGGGGAGACUGGAAUUCCUGGUGUAGCGGUGGAAUGCGCAGAUAGUCAGGAGGAACACCCGGUGGCGAAGGCGGGUCUCUGGGCAGUAACUGGACGCUGAGGAG
rnacentral:rRNA from 1 species